UUUGUAAUUGUUUUUCCUUUUAUUAAUGUUAUAUGCAUCCCUUAAAAAAAAAAAAAAAAAAAACAUUAUGGGCAUCAACUAACGUAGAUUUUUUUACUAAGAACAUCUCCAACCAAAAAACUUAUUUUCUGCUCUAAAAUACAGUAAUAUUUCAAAAUGCAGUAAUUUGUCUCCAUCGGAACUCUAUUUCUUGACACGAAAAAGAAUAUUCCAUGUAUAUUCUUUCUCAAGCACAAGCGCUAGCCUUUCUCCCCUCUGCUUUCUCUGUUUCCACCAAAAAUGAGUUUGUGAAUAGUGCGAUCGGCAUUGCAAUUGUUCACAAAUGAUAGAAUGACAUGCCUUUUGCCAUUUGAUUGGAGAAAUUUGUGGAGGCCAAUCAGGGACAUGGAGUUCGGUUAGAGAUGCACUUAACUACUGCCCUUUGGAGUUCGAAACUUUUUUUUUUUUGGGUGAGGAGCAAUGAGAACCGUAGCUCAAUAAAAUUAAAUAAUAACAUCAGUUACACUGUGGGGUUACCAAAGGUAAAAAACAAUUGAUCUUGUAGCUCUGGAAAAAAAAAAAACACCAUGAAAUGUCAAAUAGCAGUAAGGGAUCUAACAAUAAGCCCGAUUGCCAUAAGUAUAUGUUAGGUUGGAAGUACAGAGGGCUUGACACCAACCAGAGAAAGGGAUCUCUACCAACAUCGUAGAAAGUGAACCUGCAGCCACUGCGUUGAAUGCAUAUAUCAUCAUCCAACCACCAAGUAUAGAGCACCACGGCGUGUAAGGCAACACCAGGUGACCAAUUCCCCAAGGCAAAAGGUGAAGUAUACUUCAGGAAAGUAAAGCCCGCAAAAUAAGUCCCACCAAGAAGUCCACUGAGUAAAGUAACAAGGCGAGAGAUUGAGGCAAAUUGAAAAGAAUCCACUGAGCAUCUUGAACCCUGAAGGGAUUGACCGGUCCACAAAUGUUGAAGCUGCUUGAAGUUCCCAGUGGGAAGGAAGUUAGUUUCUAUCCAUUAGGGAGAAUUCCUCCGAUACAAGAAGUUUUCUCAUCCUGACGGAUAUCAUGCGAAACACCCUCUUCAUGAGUGUAGGAGGCUGUUGUACCUCAAUUGAUGACGAGACAUCGUGAUAAGGAUAUUCUCAAGCUGGUGCUCCUUGACAUGCUUCGGGUUUUGAGAUUGUUGUUAGCAGGUCACCUCAUCUGCAGACUUCCUUUUGUCUAGAUACAAAGUAUAAAAUGUAACAGAAGAGAGCGCAAUAUGCAGUUCUGCACUGCUGGUAUGGCUUAUGACUCACUUUAUUGGUGAACUUAUAACUUUCUGGUUCACUACUUUGAAGUAUUUCUAGUAGCAGAUCUAUAACUUUUCAUGUUUUGCUGUUCAUGAUGUUUUGGGAAAUCUUUGUACAGAUGCAAUUGCCAUGUAGCCGAGAAUAUAGAAAUUGCUGUUGAUUUGGAAUUAUUUACAAAUCUAAAUAAACUUUUGUUUGGAAA